rnacentral:lncRNA from 1 species
GGAGAAUUGCUUGAACCCGGGAGGCAGAGGUUGCAGUGAGCCAAGAUGGCGCCACUGCACUCCAUCCAGACUGGGAGACAGAACAAGACUCUGUCCCAAAAAAAAAAAAAAAAAAAAAGAGAAAAUGUAACCUGAUUCUGUAGUCUCAGGCUGAUGAAUUUUGGAACACUUAGCCGUAUAAUCAGGUGUCACUGGUAUGGCAUACUCCACAGUUUGGGAUAUAAAUAUAGUCUCAUCUUUUAUUUUUCCAUUAAUCACUUGAGAGCCCAACUGCAGUUAGUGGCAGGAGGUCCAGUAUCUCCCUGGAGACCUUCCUACCAACCCUCUGAAUUGUUCAAGAACAAGGGCUUCUGCCUGUCUUGUCAGGUCCUUGGGAGAGAGUGGAGGAGAUGGUGUUCUCGUGUUAAUUGAGGCUGAGAAAGCAGCACUGCUCACGUUUUGCUUUAUUUUCUUCCUCUCCUAGGCAGAAUCAGUGUUACAUUUGUGGUCAGAUGAGCUAACGACAUCCUUCCUGACUUCUUUCUCAGAAUUAGGAAACCCUGAUUAGCAUUUAGAACCUCAUUUUCACAGACUUCACUCAUUAAAACAUCAAGACCUAGGUAACGCACCACUGAAAUUUCAUAAUAUGGAGGAUAUGUUUAAAUAUGUUUAAAAUAUGUAUUUUUAACUGUGGUUAAAAUAUGUUUUUAAAAUGUUUAUGAGUCAAAAUAAUUAAAAUUGCCAUUUAACGUAA